rnacentral:rRNA from 1 species
CCGACGGUGAGGGAUGAAAGCUGGGGAGCAAACCGGAUUAGAUACCCGGGUAGUCCCAGCCGUAAACGAUGUGCGUUAGGUGUAUCGGUGACCACGAGUCACCGAGGUGCCGAAGAGAAAUCGUGAAACGUACCGCCUGGGAAGUACGGUCGCAAGGCUGAAACUUAAAGGAAUUGGCGGGGGAGCACCACAACAGGUGGAGCCUGCGGUUUAAUCGGACUCAACGCCGGGAAACUCACCAGAUAAGACAGCUGAAUGAUAGUCGGGCUGAAGACUCUACUUGACUAGCUGAGAGGAGGUGCAUGGCCGUCGUCAGUUCGUACUGUGAAGCAUCCUGUUAAGUCA